rnacentral:rRNA from 1 species
GAUGAACGCUGGCGGCGUGCCUAAUACAUGCAAGUCGAGCGAACAGACGAGGAGCUUGCUCCUUUGACGUUAGCGGCGGACGGGUGAGUAGCACGUGGGUAACCUACCUAUAAGACUGGGAUAACUUCGGGAAACCGGAGCUAAUACCGGAUAAUAUUUCGAACCGCAUGGUUCGAUAGUGAAAGAUGGCUUUGCUAUCACUUAUAGAUGGACCUGCGCCGUAUUAGCUAGUUGGUAAGGUAACGGCUUACCAAGGCAACGAUACGUAGCCGACCUGAGAGGGUGAUCGGCCACACUGGAACUGAGACACGGUCCAGACUCCUACGGGAGGCAGCAGUAGGGAAUCUUCCGCAAUGGGCGAAAGCCUGACGGAGCAACGCCGCGUGAGUGAUGAAGGUCUUCGGAUCGUAAAACUCUGUUAUUAGGGAAGAACAAACGUGUAAGUAACUGUGCACGUCUUGACGGUACCUAAUCAGAAAGCCACGGCUAACUACGU